AUGGAGGAAGGUUGGCUGGGAGAUACAGCAACCACCUUUGGCAACUCUUAAAUCAUUUGAUCUUUCUGAGGCUUUUUUUUUUUUUUUUUUUCCCUCAGAUGAGAAACUCAGAGCUCUGCAAUCUUGGCCCCAGUGGAGAUGGAUGGAGUUAACUGACGUCUCUGCUUCGGAAGAGGCCUGGAUCUCAUAGCGGGUAUGUUCAAAACUAUUAAAGAGAAUGAUUUUUAUGACUAUAGAUACUCCAUUUGGGGU
ensembl:lncRNA